GCAGUGUUAAUGAAAGGGAGAGGAGUAAAAGCAGCAAGGUUAGCUAGUAAAAAUAAAAUGAAUAAUGUUAGUAAAUUUAGGAGAAAGUCAACGAGUUCCUAAGACUUGACAGAGAGACAAGAUAGGGAGAAGCAGCCAGCAGAAUUGCACUGUUUUGCACUCUUGUGACCACAAAUGUUAGGUGAGCCAAGAACACAGCGAGUUGACCAACCAGGGUUAAAGUAAAGGCUAAACUUUUAAAUACUAUUCCUGGCCGCUCUGGCAACUAGGUCUCCUUCCCAUGCUAAAGAUAAAAUAAAACAUGCAAAUUAACUGAAUAGAAAUCAAAGGUGUAGUCAUAAACAGUCUAGAUCACUCCAUUUGGGUAAAGGGCUGGAAGUCUGUACCUCACAAAGCAAAUGAAGACACGAGAAGAACUUGAAUUACACAUAAGAGGGUUAAAUUAGCCCUGCGAAGUACUUGUUUUCCUCCCUAUCGACGCUGGUCAUAGGCGAUGCAGGUGGUAAAUCCUGUUCUUGCCUGUCCCUAUGGUCUCAAGCUGUUCUAACAGACAGUAGUUGCUGGGAAGAAAAUGGAAGCUCAUUCUCCCAGGGCCCUAUCUAAACUGGUUUGGGCUGUAAAAUUUAAACAGGGGUUCUCAAAGUUUAGCAUGCACUGGAAUCACCUCAGGAUAAUCUGCUUCUGCUCCAUGGCAGAUCUGGCUAGCCCCAGACUGGGCGUCCCAGCUCUCUAAAACACAAGUCACACAGUGGGGUUUAUUCCAGGCCCAUCUCAGGUACAAGUGUGUUAAUUUUGUCCCCCUUUCUCUUUGAAGCUUUAACUAUGGUGCUAUCUGUUCUGAAGUCUCUGCACUGCAUCUGGGGAAAUCCACCUGCCUUGCGUGGCUUUGCAUUUUGUGUAUUUGUGACCUGGUGGUAUGCACGGUCAGCUGGCAGUGGAGUGGAAGGCCCUGAGAGCCUGCAGAGCCCUGGUUUUCCCUUCAGUUCUCUUUGACUCAAGGCAGUACCUCUUUUCAGAGAGCAUGUGCUGCCUGAAUGAGCAAAACAAACUCUUGUCAGAUUUCCUUUUGUGGUAGCCUUGCUGCACUGAAACCUUCAGUCAGCUCCAGGAGGCAGUAAAAACAUGAAAGGUGCUGCAAGUCUUUCACGACUGUGCUGGCAGGGAUUCCCUUACUGGGUGGGCCAUUAGAUACUGGCUUGGCACUCCCCCACGUCUGUCCAUCCAGAUGGUGUAAAAGGCUCUAGCCGGCACACGUCCCACUGUGGGAGAGCUGUCGGGUCCACCAGACUUGCGAACACUUCUAUGAGACCCAAGUGAUGGUGGGAGGGGCCAGCAAACAUUUGCAGUGAUGUGUGCAUAUCCUUUACACUUCUUGUUGGUGCGUUUAGUAAACCGAAAUUAAAGGAAAUUUAGGUGAGUGGUGAGCUGUCAUUCUCACCGAUCUCUGAACCUGGUGCAGGCCUGAUGGUCUGACCUUGCUCACUGCUCUUCCUCUUUUCCUCCUUCUCAUUCCCCUCCUCCUCCUUUUCUUUUCGUUUUCUUCUUUCUUCUCUUCCCUUGACCCUCCCCCUCCCUUCUACCCUCCCAUUACUCUCUUCUGUUCUACACAGCUUGAAUAUUCCUGGGCUAUUGUUUGUACAAAUACAAUAAACUGUGCAAAGAAACACAAUCCUCCAAUGAAAGUUAUUUAAAAGUAAUUCUGAUUUUCACUUACAUUUUCCCAAGUUGCAAUGGGUUGAAUUGUGUGCUCCAAAAUUUAUAUAUUGAAGUCCUAAGCCCUAAUACCUCAGGAUGUGACCUUAUUUGGAGAUGAGGUCUUUACAGAGGUAAUUAAGUUAAACUGAGACAUUAGCAUAGUCCCUAAUCUGAUAUGAACUGCAUCCUUCUAAGAAGGAGAAGUUUGGACACAGGCAGCCAUACAGGGAGAACACCUUGUGAACUUGAGGACAUCCAUCUACAAGCCAAGGAGAGAGGCCUGCAACAGGCUCUUUCCCUCAUAGCCUUCAGAUGGAACCAAACCUGUCAGCACCUCGACUUUGGACUUCUACCCUCCAGAACUCACAAGCCUACUGUCCUCAAGCAAGAUCACCUCAGGACUGCAAAAUAACUGCUGCAGCACAAGUCAUUACAUCCAUGUUUCAGAUCUGGAGGUUGGAAGUCCAGGAUCAAGGAGUCAGUAGGUUUGGUUUCCACUGAAGCCUCUCUCUGGCUUACAAAGGGCUGCCUUCUCCCUGUUUCCUCAUGUUUCUGUCUCCUCUGCCUUCUCACUGUAUUCCCUCUUUCCUUCUGUUUCCUAAUCUUCUCUUUAAAGACCCCAGUCAGAUUAGAUUAGGACCCAUCCCAAUGGCCACAGUUUACCUGUUUCAAGGCCCUGUUUCCAAAUAUGGUCAUGGUCUGAGGUACUAGGGGUUAGGACUUCAAAACAUGAAUUUCAGCCCAUAGCAGUUGCACUGAUCUUAAUACAGCCCAUAGCAGUUGCACUGAUCUUAAUACACCUAGUUAUAUUCUCCGUGGGAGAAAGAAAAACAAGGAUGAGGUCAGACACUCUCCUUCUACAGCCUGCUCUUCCCUUUUCACUCUUUUCCUCAGGCCUUCAAUCCAGAACGUCCUAGCUCACUGCUCCUAAACAAUGCUCUCACUAUAAAUUGCAUAGAAACAUAAGACAUCAAAACCUAGUUUUACGUUUCUUUGUGUAUAAGAAAUAGUAAGAGUCACUGAAGUCGGUGCUUGCAGUCUGAGACUUUUCUAAAAAGAGUUCAGUGCAUUAUUCAAGUUGAAAAAAUAAUAAUUUGGACCUUAGCCUGUCUCCAGCAGAUGGACGACGCUGCCCGUCCCCUGCCCUUUCUUAAGAAGUUCCCUUUAUUCUGUGAUACCCUAAAGUGUCUGCUGGCAUGGUGGUUUACAAGCACCUUCUCACGUGGUGAAUAAUUAGGUCCUAAUCACCACCCAGUGAAGUAGAGAAAUAAUUUGAAUCCCUGUUGUACAGAUGAGAUAACUGGAGCAUAAAGAAUGUGGGAUUUUCAAGGUCACACAGCAAGAAAGGCACAAAGCCAGCUUCCAUUUCUCAGUCUAGGUAAUAUGAAUUCCACAGUUCCAUGUUGCCCUCUCUCCCCAAAGUGGCAGUCCAUCCACCAAGUUUUUGUUUCAAUUGGGGUGCAGGGUGCUAGUCAUUGGGAGGGGGAACAACUGAAAACACUAUGAUGACUCAGGGCAGUCAAUAAGAAAAUGGACUUUCUCGGUGAGGCAGAGAUGGGGAAGUAGUCAUCUCUUUCCUCUGAUAGCAGGGCGUACGUUUUGUUUUUCAAUCGGCAUGCUCACUGGAUCCUUCUUAUUACCCUUUGCCUUUCAUGCUUUUAAAGCUUACCCACAAGCAUUUUUUUUCAUUCCAUCUGUAUUUAGUAGUUGUUGUUCUACUACAAAGAAGACUUUCCUCUCUUCUCCAUCUAUUUGUGUACUCAUUUAUUAAUUUAUAUCACUAUAGUCUCACGGUUUCUUAUUUUAUUCAGUGAGUUUUUGUUUUAUUCCACGGGUUUCGAUGACCAGACUGUGCUUGUUCAGUGGGAACCCCUUCAUUCUGGCUCCUGGGUCCUCUUGACAUGUUCCCAUAAGUCCAUGAGCCUAUCCUUACUUGGCACAAAAAGGUGUUCCACAUUCUUCUCAUAUUUUCACUGCCCCAGCCUUAAACUCACUGUAUUUUGAGAACUGGUGGAUACCACCCAGUGUUAAAAGUAGAAGUCUUGAACCACUGUAGGAGCCAGAGGAGACAGUGAUUUCUCCUCAAAUUAUGACCCUUCUUGACCUUCAGAUGAAAGGAUUAAGAGGAUGAUUGCCCCCAUGUGCUUGUAAUUCAUCCCAAGGAUAAACAAAUCUACUGUCUUAAGUUUCUCAUGAUUUCCAUUUCAUGGAAGAGAAUUUCAAACUGAGCCUCAGAGACACUAGGCGGGAAAUGGGAAUUCAAAUCUGUGGGAUAGGGUAACGGGAGAUCAAUACGGAACGGACUGCCGCCCUUACUAACAGUGACCCUGACCCACACAAGCCUGUGUGUGGGAGGAGCUUGGGCUCCUCCCAAGGAGCCUGCAGAGCCAGCGGCGAGCAGGAAGCCUCAGAGUACAGAGGACCAUGUCACUCUUAACUCCCAGAUGGUGAGAGGUAAGCCUCUGUCCUGGGGACACCGGAGUGGGCGGGGUGUCCUUUCUACACUCACAGGUGCAGCCAGAGCUGACUCUAAGAUAAGACAGGUUUGAUCAUGGCUCGUUUUCCUUUCCAUUAAAAAUAAUUUCAAUUAGGAAAGACUUUAAGCUUACAGAAAGUUACAGAUAAAAAUGUCAUAAGCACCAAUGUACCCAUCACCAGACGGAGGAAAUGUUAACAUUAGCCUUAGAUCCUUUUAGAAAGAAAAUAAAGCUACAGAUAAAAUUGAAACCCAAUUGCCCUCCCUCUCUCUCCAGAGAUAACUCUCAAGUUAGUACGCAGCUUCUCGGUGCUCAAUAUUACUUUGUUUUCACGUGGGUAAACACCAAUAUAUAGUAUUGCCUUGUGUACUUAAAACAUUUCAUAAGCAGUAUUGUUACCCACGCUAUGCAGCCAAGGCUCCAGGCGCGGAAACUGUUUUCUUUUUUUCAGUCAUACAGGUUAGUUGUUUUUUUUUAUCAACAGGAAGCCACGAAGGCCAGAAACAAAACCAGACUGAACCGGCUAUGUCCAAGAUGGCGGGCAAAGUAGGCUAAAGUACCUGGUGUUUGGCAGAGAUGCUUCGCGGGCUGUACUUUGAGAGGUACACAGUGGUCAACCAUCCCAAACCAGCUCUGACGACCACGGGAACACGCCUGCGCAGAUGAAACCAGGGGGCUGUCCCAGCAUUACCUUCGCUUCAUUACCUUGCUAACAUCUCCGCCCAAAGCGGGGAUUUGUGCUCUGCUAGGCACAAUUUGUUCCACGUGCAAAGGAGCGUGGCAGACUGCGCAUGACCUGGCUGCCCCUGGAAAUCUCGCCCCUUUCCUAGAGCCCUGAUGACCUUCUCCCUCCUAACCCUAAAAUUCCCUUACUCCCCUCUUUGGGGAGAAGGUGCUUCUAGAGUUUGAGCUUCCCUUCUCCAUUCUCUGGCCUUUGGGUAAAAGCCUGUUUUGCUUGCACCAAACUCAAUUUCAUUAUUGGGAGCUCGAAACUGAGUGGGAAAGAACUCCCUGUCUGAUAGGGGUUGGGG